CGGAGCUGAUGGAUGUUAGAGACCUUGCGCUCCCACAUGCUUGGCCAGUCCAUCACCUUUACCUUCAGCUACUUAAGCAAGGCAUUGGUCAUCUUGGAGGUGUGUUUGGGGUCGUUAUCAUGUUGGAAUACUGUCCUGCUGCCCUGUCUCCGAAUCAUGCUCUGCUUCAGUAUGUCACAGUACAUGUUGCCAUUGAUGGUUCCCUCAAUGAACUGUAGCUCCCUAGUGCCAGCAGCACUCAUGCAGGUCCAGACCAUGACACUCCUACCACCAUGCUUG